rnacentral:rRNA from 1 species
AUACGUAGGGUGCAAGCGUUAAUCGGAAUUACUGGGCGUAAAGCGUGCGCAGGCGGUUUUGUAAGACAGUGGUGAAAUCCCCGGGCUCAACCUGGGAACUGCCAUUGUGACUGCAAGGCUGGAGUGCGGCAGAGGGGGAUGGAAUUCCGCGUGUAGCAGUGAAAUGCGUAGAUAUGCGGAGGAACACCGAUGGCGAAGGCAAUCCCAUGGGCCUGCACUGACGCUCAUGCACGAAAGCGUGGGGAGCAAACAGGAUUAGAUACCCUGGUAGUCCACGCCCUAAACGAUGUCAACUGGUUGUUGGGGAUUUAUUUUCUCAGUAACGAAGCUAACGCGUGAAGUUGACCGCCUGGGGAGUACGGCCGCAAGGUUAAAACUCAAAUGAAUUGACGGGG